rnacentral:rRNA from 4 species
GGUUAAGCGACUAAGCGUACACGGUGGAUGCCCUGGCAGUCAGAGGCGAUGAAGGACGUGCUAAUCUGCGAUAAGCGUCGGUAAGGUGAUAUGAACCGUUAUAACCGGCGAUUUCCGAAUGGGGAAACCCAGUGUGUUUCG